GACGAACGCUGGCGGCGUGCCUAAUACAUGCAAGUCGAACGCAUUUUCUUUCACCGUAGCUUGCUACACCGAAAGAAAAUGAGUGGCGAACGGGUGAGUAACACGUGGGUAACCUGCCCAUCAGCGGGGGAUAACACUUGGAAACAGGUGCUAAUACCGCAUAAUUCCAUUUACUGCAUGGUAGAUGGAUGAAAGGCGCUUUUGCGUCACUGAUGGAUGGACCCGCGGUGCAUUAGCUAGUUGGUGGGGUAACGGCCUACCAAGGCUGCGAUGCAUAGCCGACCCGAGAGGGUGAUCGGCCACACUGGGACUGAGACACGGCCCAGACUCCUACGGGAGGCAGCAGUAGGGAAUCUUCGGCAAUGGACGCAAGUCUGACCGAGCAACGCCGCGUGAGUGAAGAAGGUUUUCGGAUCGUAAAACUCUGUUGUUAGAAAAGAACAAGGAUGAGAGUGGAAAGUUCAUCCCUUGACGGUAUCUAACCAGAAAGCCACGGCUAACUACGUG
rnacentral:rRNA from 1 species